UAGUCGGAGGUGUGUCUCGGACGGUCGGUUCGCCGCUUGCCGGUGCUCAACUGGCCGGUCCGGACGUCCUGCCGGUGGGGCCGCGAGGCUCCGUUAUCCUUCUUUGGUCCUCUUCACCGAGUGCCUUGGUGGGCCGGCACGUUUACUUUGAACAAAUUAGAGUGCUCAAAGCAGGCCGUUGGUCGCCUGAAUACUGUGUGCAUGGAAUAAUGGAAUAGGACCUCGGUUCCAUUUUGUUGGUUUUCAGAACUCGAGGUAAUGAUUAAUAGGGACGGACGGGGGCAUUCGUAUUGCGACGUUAGAGGUGAAAUUCUUGGAUCGUCGCAAGACGAACCGAUGCGAAAGCAUUUGCCAAGAACGUUUUCGUUGAUCAAGAACGAAAGUUAGAGGUUCGAAGGCGAUCAGAUACCGCCCUAGUUCUAACCAUAAACGAUGCCAGCUAGCCAUCCGCCGAAGUUCCUUCUAUGACUCGGCGGGCAGCUUCCGGGAAACCAAAGCUCUUGGGUUCCGGGGGAAGUAU
rnacentral:rRNA from 1 species